rnacentral:rRNA from 1 species
UCGGGUUAGUGGCGGACGGGUGAGUAACGCGUGAGAAUCUGCCCUCAGGAGGGGGACAACAGCUGGAAACGGCUGCUAAUACCCCAUAUGCCGCGAGGUGAAAUGAAUUUCGCCUGAGGAUGAGCUCGCGUCUGAUUAGCUAGUUGGUGUAGGUAAUGGCUCACCAAGGCAUCGAUCAGUAGCUGGUCUGAGAGGACGAUCAGCCACACUGGGACUGAGACACGGCCCAGACUCCUACGGGAGGCAGCAGUGGGGAAUUUUCCGCAAUGGGCGAAAGCCUGACGGAGCAACGCCGCGUGAGGGAUGAAGGCCUCUGGGCUGUAAACCUCUUUUAUCAAGGAAGAAGAUCUGACGGUACUUGAUGAAUAAGCCACGGCUAAUUCCGUGCCAGCAGCCGCGGUAAUACGGGAGUGGCAAGCGUUAUCCGGAAUUAUUGGGCGUAAAGCGUCCGCAGGCGGCCCUUCAAGUCUGCUGUUAAAAAGUGGAGCUU